ensembl:lncRNA
GACUUGCUCUCGAGUUCAUCCCAGGCCCCACUCUUACCUGUGCUGGACUCCUGGCCCCUGGACUCAGUGGUGUUAUCUGACUGGCCGCUCCAGGCUUCUGAGGGGGUGGUCUCUGGUCUUAAGUGCAGACAGCUCCCAGGCCUGGGGGUUGGGGUGGUGAGGAGGCGGUGGAAUCCGCUUGGGAGUGCACAGGGCUUCCAGGAGGAGUCCUUGUCAGACACAAGCCCUGAAGAAUGGCUAGUCCCUGAGCACUGGCAAUCCUGACCCACGGUGCGAUCCAAGCACAGCACGUGUGGUGUGCACGAGGGCCCUUGCAGAAAUCCGUGUGUGCUCUGUUUUCCAAAGUCAGUGUUUUGGCAAAGGACAGACAUGACGUGGAAAGGAAAGUUUUCACGAACUUAGGAAUCAGGUUCUUCAUACACGUGACAGUGGAGGCUCAUCACCGAUCAACUAGAGUUAGACUCUGCAUCUGCAUGUUUAAGAGUUAACUAACCCUGGAUCCUUGACAUACAAUCCAAACAUACUCGUGGAAAUUCAGCAUCUUUGCGAUAGGCACAGAAAGCCUUAGCCAAGGCAGUGAAUCUCACUGACAUUCAAAGAAUUAUGUCUGACAACUGGAUUUUGAGCAAUUAUUCUUCCUCCUUGUUGGAUGGGGCCUUGGACCCAACAGUAAAUAUUUGUGGCCUCAAGUUGAGUAGAGACACAAAUAUAGUGUAACCCUCUAAAUGCUUUGCUAACCCUCACCAAGGAGUCAAGACCUCGCCGAUCCCUUCAUCCCCCACCCUGUCAAAGCCCAAGGCCGGCAGGAGCCUGGGCUCCCACUGAGCCGCCUCCUUCAGGCCACAGAUCUGCGAUGGCCACAGCACCUCUGUCUUCUCAUGCUAGCUCCGUCCUCAGAGAGAUGCCAGCAGGAUGGUACAAGCUCUGCCAAGGAAGGUCUUGGGAAAGUCAAGCAUCAUCAUUAUUAAUUCCCCGCUGUUUGCCUGGGAUGGAAGCCACUGGAGCACCAAUGGAAGAGUCUUGACUCCAAUAAAUAAACACGUCCUUUGGGCAGAUGUCUGGACUGCUCCGGCUGCUGACUGAUGGCCCCUCGCCAUGACAGUGGGCGCACAGGGACAGCCCAAAGGCUCUGCCUCGUCACAACAAGCAGGCUGGAACCUGGGCCCGGUUUUAGGGCCAUCCCUUUGAAAUACACUGACAGCUUAAUGAAGUGAUAUUUAUGGAACCCAUGCCACUGGGAAGACGGCUGCUCCUUUUCUCCGUCUUCUAUUUUUAAUAUUUGAUCUGGCAAAUGCAUUAUUAAAGGAAUAUUUCAAAUCUGAUUACUCUUCUGUUUGACUGUGUGUUAUUCACGCACGCUGGGCGCCAGGGGAAAUUAUACCGACCAGUCUGGGAGCUUUACGAUGUUAUUCUUUCAAACAGCCCUCUGCUCCGAGUCUGAUUAAUUCACGUGAGAGGCUGUGGGCCCCCUCGCCUUAAUCACAGUGGCCUCCUCCUUUCCUCCCAGUCUCCCUCAAGGCCUGUUCCGGACUCUUCUCCUGGGGCUCAGGAACCUCCUCUCUGAGAAGCGGUCUCCCUGGAUAUCCACAAAGUCGUUCUGCUGUGGUUUUGGUUAAUCAUUGAAUUGUUAACUGAGCCUCAGUCUUCUUCAUAAGGCACAGAACAGUGGGCAGGAACUCGGAGUGUGCCCUGACACGGCCUCACCUGGGUUUGAACCCUGGGUCCAGCCACAGGCGUCAUGGUCACUUUCCUGCACGUCUCGUCUCUCCACUUUUCCCUUUGCAAGAGGCUAGCUCCACCUUGGAAGUCUCAAGCCACCUGAUAAAUCUACCCCUGGCUCGGCCUUUAGCAGGGAGCCAGAGAGAGCCUUUGAGCCCCACAGGGAAGAACAUUCAUGGGGUGGGUGCCGCGUGGCCCUGCCAUGCCACUGGGACUCAGGCAAGAGGCUUCGUCUCCAAAGGCAGAGGGGCACAGAGACGAGACUGUAGGCUCAGCUCUCGCUGACCCACUGAAGCCCGUGUCCUGGCUCUAAGACUCUCUGGGCCUCACAAAUCCCAGGGACUUUGGCCAACUAUGUACUUUUUCUGUAAGGGCUAGAUAGUAAAUAUUUUAGCCUUUGCAGGCCAUAUAGUCACUGUCACAACUAUUUGACUCUGUCACGAUAGCACUAAAGCAGCCUUGUAAACCAAUGAGCAUGGCUGUGUCCCAAUAAAACUUUAUAGACAAAAACAAGCAGCGGGCCAGAUUGGUCUGCAAGCCGCAGUGUCCAGACUCCUGCUUUAGACGUCUGCUUGAAUUAGGCAUGUUUUUAAAAAAACUAAAACACUUCAGCUUCAUCUUAAGCAAUACUCAUGAAAUCAGAGGCUUAAUUUCUGAGUCACAUAUAUAUAUUUUUUCCCCA